CUUCCAGUAGCACCUUAGAGACCAACUAAGUUUGUUAUUGGUAUAAGUUUUCGUGUGCAUCAUGCAAACUUAUACCAAUAACAUCAUGCAAACUUAAACCAAUAACAAACUUAGUUGGUCUCUAAGGUGCUACUGGAAG